CAACAAAUAAACAAUUCUGUUUCAGAGCAUGAGUCCAUGUAGUCUUGCGGGACCUGCUGGAAAACUGCCUCUAUGUAAAGGGCGAAAAUGUGAGUUCCGUGUCCAGUCCAUUCAGUUGCGGGCAGACCCGGCCAAGAUCAAGGCAGUAGUGGAUUGGCUGGAGCCACUAAAGCUUGGUGGCAGUCUCUGGCCAAAGAUAUCCAGGAAUAUGUCUCUGCUUGUCCCACCUGUGCUUAGAACAUGACUUCCAGCUCACCACCCGCUGGCUGACUAAGACUACUACCCAUGCCCAGUUGUCCUUGGUCACACAUUGCUUUGGAUUUUGUCAUGGGACUACCACUCCCCCUCAGUGCCUUCGAAACAGCUUAACUACUCACCGGUCACAUUUUCCGUUUACAUGGAAUCCCCGAGGACUGUGUCUGAUCGGCAGCCCCAGUUUAUGUCUCAUAUCUGAAAGGAGUUUUGUGAUGAACUAUGGGCCAAGGUCAGCCUCGUGUCUGGAUAUCUCCUCCCAAGCUAAUGUACAAGCAGAGAGGGCCAAUCAAGAGCUAGAGGCCACUCUCCGUGGUAUUCCAUCAACUAACCAGUCCGUGGCAUCGCAGCUUUCCUGGGUGGAUUAUGCCCAUAACUCCAUGACCUCUUUUGCUAACCACCACUACUACCAGCUAUUGAAAGAGAACACUCAGUUCCAUCAGUCCAACACCACCUUGUCAGUCUACCCGGGUGCCUCUGCUCAGAAAAAAAUACCUAGCCAACUGUCACAGAGUUCCUGCCCCGCUGUGAACCACGGGUAUAGAGAUGCCCAAAUAUCCCC